rnacentral:rRNA from 1 species
CAGUCGCCGCGGUAAUACGAAGGGGGCUAGCGUUGUUCGGAUUUACUGGGCGUAAAGCGCACGUAGGCGGAUCGAUCAGUCAGGGGUGAAAUCCCAGAGCUCAACUCUGGAACUGCCUUUGAUACUGUCGAUCUGGAGUAUGGAAGAGGUGAGUGGAAUUCCGAGUGUAGAGGUGAAAUUCGUAGAUAUUCGGAGGAACACCAGUGGCGAAGGCGGCUCACUGGUCCAUUACUGACGCUGAGGUGCGAAAGCGUGGGGAGCAAACAGGAUUAGAUACCCGUGUAGUCCCUGUCUCUUAUAC